rnacentral:rRNA from 1 species
UGGGGAAUUUUGGACAAUGGGCGAAAGCCUGAUCCAGCCAUGCCGCGUGUGUGAAGAAGGCCUUCGGGUUGUAAAGCACUUUUGUCCGGAACGAAACGGCGGAGACGAAUAAUCUCCGUUAAUGACGGUACCGGAAGAAUAAGCACCGGCUAACUACGUGCCAGCAGCCGCGGUAAUACGUAGGGUGCAAGCGUUAAUCGGAAUUACUGGGCGUAAAGCGUGCGCAGGCGGUUCCGCAAGUCAGAUGUGAAAUCCCCGGGCUCAACCUGGGAACUGCAUUUGAAACUACGGGGCUAGAGUGUGUCAGAGGGGGGUGGAAUUCCACGUGUAGCAGUGAAAUGCGUAGAGAUGUGGAGGAACACCAAUGGCGAAGGCAGCCCCCUGGGAUGACACUGACGCUCAUGCACGAAAGCGUGGGGAGCAAACAGGAUUAGAUACCCCGGUAGUCC